rnacentral:rRNA from 1 species
AUUGAACGCUGGCGGCAUGCUUUACACAUGCAAGUCGAACGAGUGGCGAACGGGUGAGUAAUAUAUCGGAACGUAGCGAGUAAUGGGGGAUAACCAAUCGAAAUAAUGGCUAAUACCGCAUAUUAUUCGAGCGGCCGAUAACUUAUUAGCUAGGUGGUGGGGUAAAGGCCUACCAAGGCGACGACCAGUAGCGGGUCUGAGAGGACGAUCAGCCACACUGGAACUGAGACACGGUCCAGACUCCUACGGGAGGCAGCAGUGGGGAAUUUUGGACAAUGGGGGCAACCCUGAUCCAGCCAUGCCGCGUGUAUGAAGAAGGCCUUCGGGUUGUAAAGCACUUUUGUUAGGGAAGCGUUACCUAAAGAAUAAGCACCGGCUAACUACGUGCCAGCAGCCGCGGUAAUUC